rnacentral:rRNA from 1 species
GACGAACGCUGGCGGCGUGCUUAACACAUGCAAGUCGAACGGAAAGGCCCUGCUUGCAGGGUACUCGAGUGGCGAACGGGUGAGUAACACGUGGGUGAUCUGCCCUGCACUUCGGGAUAAGCCUGGGAAACUGGGUCUAAUACCGGAUAGGAGACAUUUUUAGUGUGAUGGUUGGAAAGUUUUUUCGGUGUAGGAUGAGCUCGCGGCCUAUCAGCUUGUUGGUGGGGUAAUGGCCUACCAAGGCGGCGACGGGUAGCCGGCCUGAGAGGGUGGACGGCCACAUUGGGACUGAGAUACGGCCCAGACGCCUACGGGAGGCAGCAGUGGGGAAUAUUGCACAAUGGGCGCAAGCCUGAUGCAGCGGCGCCGCGUGGGGGAUGACGGCCUUCGGGUUGUAAACUCCUUUCGCUAGGGACGAAGCUUUUUGGGGCGGAACCUAGAUAAGAAACACCGGCUAACUACGU